GGAUGUAAGAGUCAUACAAAGAGGAGAGAUAGGAGACACACAAAGGCAAAAAUAGGAGAUAAAAUACACUAAAGGGAGUCAGAUAUUUAAAAGACGGGAUAAGAAACACAAAAGGGAGGUUAAGAGGCACAUGGGUGAAGAUGUUUUUGGGGUGGUGGAAAAAUGCAUCUUCGCCUAUGUACCCAAAAUUCUUUGCACCGGCCCUGGUUA